rnacentral:rRNA from 1 species
AUGGACUUCCCGGCCGACGGCGGCGGCAACAACCCCCCGCCCCGCCGCCGCGGCGGCCGCGCCUCCAACGCCGACAAGGGCAAGGAGCAGCAGGAGCCCUCGGAGAGCUCCCGCGUGCGCGAGGCCGAGCGGAUGCUGGGCCUCAGCUUCGACGGCAUGGACGACGACGACGAGGGCCACGGGGCCUUCCCCCACGGCCUCACCUCCGCCAGCAGCGCCCUGCAGGGGCUGCUCAGGAAGCUCGGCGCCGGCCUGGACGACAUGCUGCCGUCGUCCGGGCUCUCGGCCGCCGCCGCGGCUGCCUCCUCGUCGUCCAUGUCUGGGCCGAACGGCGCGCGGAUGAAGAGCAUGCUCGCGGGUCUCCGCGCCGACGGGGAGGAGGGGCGCCAGGUUGAGGCACUCACGCAGCUCUGCGAGAUGCUGUCCAUCGGCACGGAGGACACCCUCGCGGGCUUCUCAGUGGACUCGUUCGUGCCUGUUCUGGUCGGGCUGCUCAACCAUGAGAGCAACCCCGACAUCAUGCUGCUCGCCGCGCGGGCCCUGACCCACCUCUGCGACGUGCUUCCGUCGUCCUGCUCUGCCGUUGUGCACUAUGGCGCCGUGGCAUGCUUCUGCGCCCGGCUUCUCACCAUUGAAUAUAUGGACCUUGCUGAGCAGUCCUUACAAGCACUCAAGAAGAUAUCCCAGGAGCAUCCAACUGCCUGCUUGAGGGCUGGCGCGCUAAUGGCAGUGCUAUCGUAUCUUGACUUCUUCUCCACCGGUGUUCAAAGAGUUGCGUUAUCUACAGCUGCCAAUAUGUGUAGGAAGCUUCCUUCAGACGCCUCAGAUUUUGUAAUGGAAGCGGUUCCACUGCUAACAAAUCUUCUGAACUACCAUGAUGCAAAAGUGCUGGAACAUGCUUCUGUUUGCCUGACUCGUAUAGCAGAAUCGUUUGCUUCAUCCCCAGAGAAAUUGGAUCAAUUGUGCAAUUAUGGAUUGGUUGCACAAGCUGCUAGCUUAAUAGCUGUUAGCAACUCAGCGGGACAAGCAUCACUGAGUACAUUAACAUAUACAGGAGUAAUUCGUGUUCUGUCAAUAUGUGCAAGUGGAUCUUCAUUGGCAGCUAAAACACUCCUCCUCCAUGGAAUUAGCGGCACACUUAAAGAUAUCCUUUCAGGUUCUGGUUUGGUUGCUGGUACAACUGUAUCCCCCACUAGGCCAGCUGAUCAGAAUAUUCAAAAUUUGGAAGAAAGUUGCAUGCUGGAUACUUAUUCUGUGUAUAAUAAUUUGCCAAAUGUUUCCCGUGCUCGUGCUGUUUGUGCAGUCCUGCAAGCUAUAACAAUGUAUGAAAUUGUGAACCUUGCCGACGAAUUGCUUCCUCCUCUACCUGCUGGAACCAUUUCUUUACCAGCGCAUUCCCAUGUUUUUAUGAAAGGCUCUUCUGUAAAGAAACCUGGUUCUAGCAAGCAAGGCGAGUCUGGUUCAACAGAUAUUAAAGUCUCGGGUCGGGAGAAGUUAUUGCGUGAUCAGCCUGAACUUCUCCAGCAAUUUGGCAUGGACAUAUUACCUACCAUGACACAGGUGUAUGGCUCCAGUGUAAAUGGACCAAUACGUCAUAAAUGCUUAUCUGUCAUUGCUAAAUUAAUGUAUUACAGCUCAGCGGAAAUGAUCGAAAUUCUCCAUGGCACAACAAACAUAUCCAGCUUCUUAGCUGGCAUCUUAGCUUGGAAAGAUCCACAUGUGUUGGUUCCCGCUCUCCAGAUAGCUGACAUUCUGAUGGAAAAGCUCCCUGGGACAUUUUCGAAGAUGUUUGUGAGGGAAGGUGUUGUUCAUGCUGUAGAAUCGCUUAUAUGCCAGGAAAUCUCUAGUCCAAUGCUUUUUCAAGUACCACAGCAGGACAAGGAUAUUGAUUCUGGUAUAUGUACAUCUUCACGUUCAAGACGCAGCCGCCGGCGCAGCAGUGCUGGGAAUACUGAUAAUAAUUCCUUGGAUGAACCAAAGGGUUCCCAUACUACUAUUGCCAAUUCACCACCAAGCACGCUAGAAGGUCCAAAUACUAGUAUUCGUGCUUCAGUUAGUGAUCGUGCGAAGUCAUUCAAAGAUAAGUACUUCCCCUCUGAACCCGGCUCAAGUGAUAUUGCAGUUACUGAUGACCUUUUGAAGCUACGGGCACUCUGUGCAAAAUUAAAUGCCACUGCGGACACUGUUAAAACAAAAGCCAAGGGGAAAUCAAAGUCACUGGGAGGUGAUGAUUUUGAUAUCUUAUGCAAUGUCGAGGAACAGUUAGACGACAUCAUAGACAAAAUAUUGUCUGAGCUUAGCAAUGGGGAUGGGGUUUCCACGUUUGAGUUUAUUGGGAGUGGAGUUAUCUCAGCAUUGCUUAACUAUUUGUCUUGUGGAACCUUUGGAAAGGAAAAGGUGUCCGAAGCAAACCUACCCAAGUUGCGUCACCUGGCACUCAGGCGAUAUAAAGCAUUUAUAUAUGUUGCCCUUCCAAAUGAUGCGGUAGGGAAUCAAACUCCAAUGGCAUUCUUAGUUCAAAAACUGCAAAGCGCGUUGUCUUCGCUGGAACGGUUCCCAGUUGUGAUUAGCCAUUCUGGAAGGACGUCCAGUUUGGGAGGAUCUCGUCCAUCCUCUGGAUUAAGUGCUCUAUCCCAGCCCCUGAAGUUGCGCCUGUGUCGAGCAACAGGUGAAAAAACGCUCAAGGAUUAUUCAUCCAAUAUAGUUCUUAUUGAUCCCUUGGCAAGUUUAGCAGCCGUUGAAGAUUUCCUUUGGCCUAGAAUCCAGCGUAGCGAGUCAAUAUCUUAUCCUGCAGUAUCAUCUGGAAAGAAUUCUGAAUCUGUGGCACCUAGUGCAACAGCACCAGUGGCUUCGUCAACUCAAUCUGUCCGGCGGCCCUCAACUAGGUCGAAAUCAUUGGCUGAUGCUGAUUCUGCAACUAAGAAGGAUAUUCAGGAGGGGAGCGGAAACACAUCCAAGGGAAAAGGCAAAGCUGUUGUUAAGUCGACGUCCGAUGAACCAAAAGGACCACAUACUAGGACUGCGGCACGCAGAAAAGUUGCUUCACAGAAAGAUGCAGAAGUGAAGCCACCACACAGUCACAGUAGCUCAGAGGACGAAGAACUGGGCGCAUCUCCCUUUGAGGCUGAUGAUGCUUUGAUGCUUGGUGAUGACGAUGAUGAUGUUUCAGAUGAUGAAGAUGAUGAUCAUGAGGUUCUACGUGGGUCUCUUCCUGACUGUGUUCCAGAGAGUGUUCAUGAUGUAAAACUGGCAGAUGCUGAUGGAUCUAGUAUUGCCUCAAUAGCAAGUGAUAACCAGGCACAACCCUCAUCUGGCUCCAGCAUAAAACAUACUUUUAGUAGCAGGGGAGCAGGUUCUGUUGAACUUAGAAAUCCAAGCACACUUGGUUCGCGGGGCGCGAUGUCGUUUGCUGCAGCUGCCAUGGCUGGGCUUGCUUCUGUUGGUAGUCGUGGUAUCAGAGGUAGCCAGGAUAGGCGUGGCCUUCCACUUGGAACUAGUGCACAUGAGCAUUCGAACAAAUUGAUUUUUACAGCUGGCGGCAAGCAGCUUAGCAAGCAUUUGACCGUAUAUCAAGCUAUGCAACAGCAAGUAGUUCAUGAUGAGGAUGAUGAGGAAAGGCUAGGUGGUUCUGAUUUACCCAAUGAUGGAAGCCGUCUCUGGGGUGAUAUGUUCACUAUAACAUAUCAAAAGGCUGAUAACGAAGUGGAUAGGGAAUCAACCAGAGGUUCAUCUUUAGUGCUGAAAUCGUCCAAAUCAGAACUUUGCAGAGCUACAUCUCAAGAACAAUGUACUUCUCUUCUUGAUAGCAUUUUGCAAGGAGAACUUCCUUGUGAUAUUGAGAAAUCGACCCAAACUUAUAAUAUUUUAGCACUAUUGCGUGUAUUGGAGGGAUUGAAUCAGCUAUCUCCUCGUCUGAGACUACAGGCAACCUGUGAUGAUUUUAUAGAGGGAAAAGUUGGUACCCUGGAUGGGUUAUAUGGCACCGGAGCUAAGUUACCCUCAGAGGAGUUUAUCAGCAGUAAGUUGACACCAAAGCUUGCUCGGCAAAUUCAGGAUGUUCUUGCACUCUGCAGUGGUAGUUUACCUUCUUGGUGUUAUCAGAUGACCAAAGCUUGUCCAUUUCUGUUUCCUUUUGAAACAAGAAGACAACACUUCUACUCCACAGCUUUUGGGUUAUCUAGGGCAUUGAAUCGUCUUCAGCAACAACAGGGUGAUAAUAAUAGCUCAGCGACUGAAAGAGAAGUCCGGAUUGGUAGAUUGCAACGCCAGAAAGUUCGUGUUUCUCGUAACCGGAUCCUGGAUUCUGCUGCCAAAGUAAUGGAGAUGUUCUCCAAUCAGAAGGCUGUUCUUGAAGUUGAAUACUUUGGUGAAGUGGGAACUGGACUUGGUCCAACUUUGGAGUUCUACACCCUCUUAAGUCAUGACCUGCAAAGGGUUGGCUUGGGAUUAUGGAGAUCUGAUUCUGAUUCUUUAGAAGCUAAAAAACUUGAUUCGCAUUCACCUGCUGAUAGCAGGAACUUGGUACAAGCACCUCUUGGCUUGUUCCCUCGGCCUUGGCCACCUAGUACUGCUUCUUCAGAGGGUAGUAAAUUCUUCAAAGUUGUUGAGUAUUUCCGCUUAGUUGGUCGAAUCAUGGCAAAAGCAUUGCAAGAUGGAAGGCUUCUUGAUUUGCCUUUGUCAACAGCAUUUUAUAAGCUUCUACUUGGACAGGAACUUGAUUUGUACGACAUACUAUCUUUUGAUGCUGAGUUUGGUAAAAUACUUCAAGAGUUGCAAGUUCUUGUUGAACGCAAGCGAUAUCUGGAGUCCUGCUCUAGUCAUAGUCAACAGAUAGAAGAAUUGGGCUUUCGUGGUGCUCCUAUUGAAGACCUAUGCUUAGAUUUUACUCUUCCGGGCUAUCCAGAUUUUGUUCUGAAGGAAGGUGAAGAAAAUACAGUGGUCUGCAUUUACAACUUAGAAGAGUACAUUUCGCUGGUAGUGGAUGCUACACUUAAGGCUGGAAUAAUGCGCCAAGUAGAAGCAUUCAAAGCUGGAUUUAAUCAGGUAUUUGAUAUAUCAUCACUCCAAAUAUUUUCUCCUCAAGAGCUUGACUAUCUCAUUUGUGGUCGACGGGAACUUUGGGAGCCGGAGACGCUGGUCGAACAUAUAAAGUUUGAUCAUGGUUAUACCUCGAAGAGUCCAGCAAUUGUCAAUCUACUUGAGAUCAUGACGGAAUUUACUCCGGAGCAACAACAUGCAUUCUGCCAGUUUGUGACUGGUGCUCCUCGGCUUCCACCUGGUGGCUUAGCCUCCCUAAAUCCUAAGCUGACUAUCGUUAGGAAGCACUCCUCGACUGCGGCGAAUACUUCAAAUGCAGCUGGAGCAGCAGAGUCUGCAGAUGACGAUCUGCCUAGUGUCAUGACUUGUGCCAACUAUCUUAAACUUCCGCCAUACUCGACAAAGGAGGUUAUGCACAAGAAGCUGCUUUAUGCUAUCAACGAAGGCCAGGGGUCGUUUGAUCUUUCAUAG